CAGUAGCCGCGGUAAAACGUAGGGUGCAAGCGUUAAUCGGAAUUACUGGGCGUAAAGCGUGCGCAGGCGGUUUGUUAAGACAGAUGUGAAAUCCCCGGGCUCAACCUGGGAACUGCAUUUGUGACUGGCAAGCUAGAGUGUGGCAGAGGGGGGUGGAAUUCCGCGUGUAGCAGUGAAAUGCGUAGAUAUGCGGAGGAACACCGAUGGCGAAGGCAGCCCCCUGGGCCAACACUGACGCUCAUGCACGAAAGCGUGGGGAGCAAACAGGAUUAGAUACCCCCGUAGUCCCUGUCUCUUAUAC
rnacentral:rRNA from 1 species